rnacentral:lncRNA from 1 species
UCAGAUAUAUUGCUCUUUUUUCAGGAAUUUUUCAAUAAGAAAGCACCAUUUCUCAAGGCAAUAUGGUAAUGCCAUUAUCUAUGAGCAACAAUAUCUAUAGAUGCAUACCAAUUUUUUAAAUGUUUCUCCCACAAAAUGAUCAGUUGAGCAUCUUUUGAAGAAUUGCGGUCAGCCAUACAUCAAAUGCAGUUGGUAGAACCCGUUUGACGAUGCAUUUCAAAGUAAUUCGGUAAGAAAUUCUUCUCAUCCUUUCCGCAACUCUCUAUGAGUUUAGUUGAACAAUUUUUUUAAAAAGUUAAACAAGGAACUGAUAGUAUUCCUACUCUUUUCUGAACCACCACGAAGCCAAAAAAAAUUAAAAGCCAAGCCUAUAUAUGUCAUGUACAGACAUGUAGUGGUAGAAACUAAAAAAGUUAAUGUUGCUGAACUUCUUCUUUUUUAAAAUUUUUUUUACCCUUAACUCUAUGGGCCUGAUUUCUAUAAUUAAAAUGGUAAAUGGAGAAGAUUGUUGCUUGAAAGUUGUUACUGAAUGAAUUUACUACUACUGAAUACCCCAGAUGCCUAAAUCAAGUAUGCUGCAUCUUACAUUUCUAUUUUUUUUCUUUAUACAUGCAAGAUAUUUUCUACUUUGGCUAUGUCAUGGUACAAGUUCUCACACUCAUUGAGUCGUGAAUGUGUAUACUAAGAGAAUCACCAAUUAUUCCACCUCCUUUCACCUUUGGAGUUGGUGGAAGGUGUUGAGUUCAAACAUCAAAAGGUACAUAUAUAUUUAACAUUCGAAGUUUUAAAUGUAAGAGAGUGACUUUGAUGAGAUUAUAUAUUAGAUGUCGACAAAUGUAUUUUAGGAUGGUUAAUAUAUGUUGUUAGUCAUUGGACAAGCUAUUCUCUAUAGACGACUUACAUUUUUGUUUUAGGAUGAGAGUUGAGAUGUAAUAUUAUCAGUUUCAAGAAAAAAAAAAGAGUUGAGAUGUUCUUACUCCUCCUCGAGAUGUUACACUUAUAAGACUAAAGAGGCAAAUAUGAAUUCCUUUUCUUUCUUUCUAAAUCAAUGUGCUACAUGAAUUUUUUAUUCCUCAGCAUAAAGUGCUUAAGUACCAUUAUGCUUUUCUAAAUGGUAUGAGUUUCGUUAUGCUAUUGUUUUUGGCACGUACAGAUCUUCCUUAAUCAAGAUUCAUACAUUGUUUGUUUACUUUUUCUUAUCAAAUGUUGUAAGAACUUUUAGUUUCUUAUUUUACUUAAACUUUCAUACAAACAACAAAGGGCUAUUGGCCUUCCUCCAUACCUAAGAGGCAAUUUUGUAGUAUAUUUGUAAAUAUAAAUUGCAUUCCUUACAAUUUUGUAAUACAAAUAAUUUGUUUUAAAUAUCUCACGAUAAUUAAAUUUUUCUCAAGUAAAAUGUAUCAAAAAAUAAGGGUAUUUUCAUGAAUUUAAGGUUGUACAAUAGAGAUCAAUGGUAACUUGGAGCAGGUUUAUCUCUAUUGAAUGAAUUUUAUGAUUAUUCAUCUUCAUUUCUUCUAUUAUAGCUAAACUUACUCAAAUACGUAUAAUGUAUUUUGAUAUUGAUAUUACAAAAAUCAGGAAGGGAAUUUAUCAAUGAAAAAUUAUUGAAAAAGUUGCCUAAAGUAUCAGCAUUUCCUAAUGGAUUAGCCGCAUAAGGCAGUUGCAUAAUCUUUAACCCAAUUGAAUGUACCUCAUUUAGGACUUGAUUAAUCUAUAGUCUUCACUUUAAUUGACCCACCAGUCUUGCUAUAUGUUACACUACUACAUGUAAUUGUGG